GCCAUUGGAGCAUUAAAUACCCAACAUGUUCACAUAAGUCGCGAACCACUGGAUGCCGCCCUGAGCCACCAGAAUCAGCAUCAGGUAGCUGAUGGGCACCUUCUUUGAGCCCCACUCGGAGGCCCACAGCGGCUCCAAAGAAAUCAUCGCAAAGACAAGCUUUGGCAAAGGAAACCUGAGACUCAGACACGAGCUAUAAUAAUCAUCUUGCAAUGGAGACCUUGGCUGCAACUGAGCGCUUGUGCGUCCCUGGCCAUCCCGUAUACUCCCAGGAGGGUCCGCUACGGCACACUUGCUGCUGUGGUCUCCUGGGAUUGCCCCUGCUCUUUGUUUCCUGAGUCCCUGUCUGAAUCGAAAGCAGGAAUGGGGCCUCACUUGGGCGCAGUCCGUAGGACCAGUGUUGGCUGGAGCAGCCCACCACACAUAUGGUCAGCAGAAUGAGUCCAGCUAGAAGUUUCGGAAUCCGCUCCAUUCUA